rnacentral:rRNA from 1 species
UAUACGAUGAAGAGUUUGAUCCUGGCUCAGGAUGAACGCUAGCGGCAGGCCUAACACAUGCAAGUCGAGGGGUAGAAAGAGCUUGCUUUUUUGAGACCGGCGCACGGGUGAGUAACGCGUAUGCAACCUACCUUAUACAGGGGAAUAGCCCGAAGAAAUUCGGAUUAAUGCUCCAUGGUUUAUCGAUAUGGCAUCGUAUUGAUAAUAAAGAUUUAUCGGUAUAAGAUGGGCAUGCGUAUCAUUAGCUAGUUGGUGUGGUAACGGCAUACCAAGGCAACGAUGAUUAGGGGUCCUGAGAGGGAGAUCCCCCACACUGGUACUGAGACACGGACCAGACUCCUACGGGAGGCAGCAGUGAGGAAUAUUGGUCAAUGGAGGCAACUCUGAACCAGCCAUGCCGCGUGCAGGAUGACGGUCCUAUGGAUUGUAAACUGCUUUUGUACAGGAAGAAACCUCCCUACGAGUAGGGACUUGACGGUACUGUAAGAAUAAGGAUCGGCUAACUCCGUGCCAGCAGCCGCGGUAAUACGGAGGAUCCGAGCGUUAUCCGGAAUUAUUGGGUUUAAAGGGUUCGUAGGCGG